CGCCAAUAGUCGGGGGGCCACUUGUGGCUGAGAUCGAAUUUAGAGACCCGUUGAACCUGAUUCAGUUAACACUGACGUAGGGAACUAUCGUGCUUUGAUU
rnacentral:ncRNA from 2 species